rnacentral:rRNA from 1 species
AUACGUAGGGAGCGAGCGUUGUCCGGAAUUACUGGGCGUAAAGGGCGCGUAGGCGGCGCUUCAAGUCGUCUGUCAAAUGGAAGGGCUUAACCCUUUUUCGCAGACGAAACUGGAGAGCUUGAGAAGCAGAGAGGCAAACAGAAUUCCUGGUGUAGCGGUGAAAUGCGUAGAUAUCAGGAAGAAUACCAGUGGCGAAGGCGGUUUGCUGGCUGCAUACUGACGCUGAAGCGCGAAAGCCAGGGGAGCGAACGGGAUUAGAUACCCCGGUAGUCCUGGCAGUAAACGAUGUAUGCUGGGUGUGAGACUAGCGAUAGUUUCGUGCCGAAGUUAACGCGAUAAGCAUACCGCCUGGGGAGUACGGUCGCAAGAUUGAAACUUAAAGGAAUUGACGGGG